rnacentral:rRNA from 1 species
ACAUAAUAUAAAUAACUUGUUAAACAGAUUUAGAUUUUAAUAUAUAGGAAAAAUAAUUUAAUAAAUAAUAUUGUUAGUAAUUUUGAAUAAACCCGGUUAUAGACUAUAGUUUAAAGUACUGUAAAGGAAAGUUGGUAAGAUUUAGGACAGUAAAUUUAAAAUCUUGUACCUUGUGUAUCAGGGAGAAUUUAUAUAAAUUAAAAAAGUUAAGAGUCUCGAAAUAAAAUAUAGCUAAUUUUAUAAAAAAUUUUUUGUAAAAAAUAGAUUUUAAAUAUAAAAUUAAAGGUGAAAUGCUAAUCGAGUUUUAUAAUAUCUAGUUUUUUAAAAAUAAAUUUAAUUUAACUUUUAUAAUUUACGAAAUAUAAGAUUAAAGUGCAGGAGGGAUUAGCUUCUUGUAAACAAAAAUGUUAAAGAGUUAAAAAUAAAAUUAAUUGGUGAAUUAAGCUUAAAAGUAGCUAUAUUGAUAAAGUGUUCUAGCUAAAUUAAAAUGAAAUAAUAUUUAUAAAAACUUUUUUAAGUAUUAAAAAACUAACUUGAUCAUUAGAGGUUAGGCUAUAAUGAUUUUAUUAGUAAAAAUUUAUUAUAAAAUAAAAUAGUAAAAUAAUAAAAACUUUAAAAAGUUGUUAAGACAAUAUAGAGGAACUCGGCAAAUAAUUUUCUUUGCCUGUUUAUCAAAAACAUGUCUAUUUGGAGAUAUAAAAAGUUUAACCUGCCCACUGAUAAAAAUAUUUAAAUGGCCGCGGUAUCUUGACCGUGCAAAGGUAGCAUAAUCGUUAGUUUUUUAAUUGGAAUCUUGUAUGAAUGGUUGGACAAAAGAAAAUCUGUCUUUAGGUUGUUUCUUGAAAUUAACUUUUAAGUGAAAAGGCUUAAAUAAAUUAAAGGGACGAUAAGACCCUAUAAAGCUUAAUAUUAGAAUUUUACUUAGUUAAAUUUUUUAUUAUAAAAACUUAGUGAUUAAGUUUAUUUUAUUGGGGCGAUAAGAGUAAAAUGAUUAUUAACUGCUUAAUUUUUAAUACAUUUAUAAAUGAUUGAAUUUUUAAAUGAUCCUAGUGUGAAGAUUAAAAGUUUAAGUUACUUUAGGGAUAACAGCGUUAUUUUUCUUAAGAGUACAUAUCGAAAGAAAAGUUUGCGACCUCGAUGUUGAAUUAAAAUAUCUUUAUAAUUGCAGCAGUUAUAUAAGUAGGUCUGUUCGACCUUUAAAAUUUUACAUGAUUUGAGUUCAAACCGGCGUGAGCCAGGUUGGUUUCUAUCUUUUGAAAAAAAAAAAUUAUUUUAGUACGAAAGGAUUAAAUAGUUGAAAUUGUUUUUAUUAUGUUU